CCUACGGGAGGCAGCAGUGGGGAAUUUUGGACAAUGGGGGCAACCCUGAUCCAGCCAUUCCGCGUGAGUGAAGAAGGCCUUCGGGUUGUAAAGCUCUUUCGCAAGGGAAGAAAACUUAUGAUCGAAUAAAUCAUGAGGUUGACGGUACCUUGAUAAGAAGCACCGGCUAACUACGUGCCAGCAGCCGCGGUAAUACGUAGGGUGCGAGCGUUAAUCGGAAUUACUGGGCGUAAAGCGUGCGCAGGCGGUUUUGUAAGUCGGAUGUGAAAUCCCCGGGCUCAACCUGGGAACUGCGUUCGAAACUGCAAGGCUAGAGUGUGUCAGAGGGGGGUAGAAUUCCACGUGUAGCAGUGAAAUGCGUAGAGAUGUGGAGGAAUACCAAUGGCGAAGGCAGCCCCCUGGGAUAACACUGACGCUCAUGCACGAAAGCGUGGGGAGCAAACAGGAUUAGAUACCCUGGUAGUCCACGCCCUAAACGAUGUCAACUAGUUGUUGGUAGAGUAAAAUCUAUGAGUAACGUAGCUAACGCGUGAAGUUGACCGCCUGGGGAGUACGGUCGCAAGAUUAAAACUUAAGGAAUUGACGG
rnacentral:rRNA from 1 species